rnacentral:rRNA from 1 species
AACGAACGCUGGCGGCAGGCUUAACACAUGCAAGUCGAACGAGAAGCUGGAGCUUGCUCCAGUGGAAAGUGGCAGACGGGUGAGUAACGCGUGGCAACCUACCUUUUGGUACGGAACAACAGUUAGAAAUGACUGCUAAUACCGUAUAAGCCCUCCGGGGGAAAGAUUCAUCGCCGAUAGAUGGGGCCGCGUUAGAUUAGCUAGUUGGUGAGGUAAAAGCUCACCAAGGCGACGAUCUAUAGCUGGUCUGAGAGGAUGAUCAGCCACACUGGGACUGAGACACGGCCCAGACUCCUACGGGAGGCAGCAGUGGGGAAUAUUGGACAAUGGAGGCAACUCUGAUCCAGCCAUGCCGCGUGAAUGAUGAAGGCCUUAGGGUUGUAAAAUUCUUUCGCUAGGGAAGAUAAUGACGGUACCUAGUAAAGAAGCCCCGGCUAACUCCG